UCUUAUCAUCUGUAGCUAAUUGCUCUGUGCCCCCACAACCCAUCUGUCCACAUCAGUUGGGCUUCUCAGGAGGAAACGAGACCUUUUGCUACAUGUCUCUAAAUUCAGAUGUAAUCCGUGUGUUUUAGCAAUGGGGAAGAUUUGAGUUGUGAAGCCCCUUCCGUGUUGUGUGGUUCUGGCUGUGAUUUUAGAGAAGAAUCCUCAGUGCUCUUAAAUUCCACAUCCUUAACUGUGCUCCUCCAGAAGUGGAUUCCUAAACUUGUGAUCCUCCGCAGGACUUCACAAGGGUGCUUGGGCGCAGUGGGGACCUUGGCUGCUCCAACAGCUGGGCCACACAGCAGAGGGAGCUGCUGAGAUGACAUUGCCACGGCCUGUGACACUCAGAAGGCUUCUGCUGCCUCUCCUUGCUGGACUAGCUGUGUGUGGCCUCUGUGCAACCCGGCUGAAUCAGGUUGCCUCCCCAAGGUUUCUGGGCUCAGCACUGACAGUUUAGGCUUGGCACAUGACAGCCCGGACCUGCAACUUCUGGGACUGUCGAUUGCAUAAGGACUCUCCUGUUAAAACCUAACUUUGCAUGUGCCCAGAUAUAAAUGGGCCUUUUCAGGCCUUGCAACUUAGUAAAAUUGUAUUCACUCAGUCAUAUUUCCCUUCCCCUCUACCUCUCUAACAUGCUAAAAACUGUUUUAAAAAUGACUCCAAAUAAUUUCUGAGCAUACUGGAAAAAGUUGGAAGAGUUAUUUAGCAAGGGCAAUACAACAUUUUUUUAUUUUUAUUUUAUUUUUUUCUUGACCUCACUCUUGUAAGAUACCAAGCUGUUGGCUUUAAUUGACACAAGAUAAGUAUGAGGCAGAUAUUUGGCAUAGGAGAGCUUAGUUUUCAAAGAUUAAAAAGAACUAUGAGCCAUAAAGAAGUUGGUCUUACAAAGUAAUAGAAAAUAGGAAAUACUUUUAAAGGAGGAAAUACUUUUUCUGUCAAUUUCUGUAUAAGUUAUGUAUCAUAAAAUACAGUUCAACAGUGCACAGUUAAGGAUAUUAUAAAAUAUCUGUAUUAAUGAGUUACUGGUGAUAAAAAUACAAUUUUAUAA